rnacentral:rRNA from 1 species
GCACCACGACCCCAGGUCAGGCGGGAUUACCCGCUGAGUU